AACCGCAAGUUUUUCACUGUGAUA
rnacentral:siRNA from 1 species